GGAAAUAAACAGUUAAUGAUCCUGCCGUCAACCCGCACACACACACAGACAGUGAGAGGGAGCCGGGGCCGCGCUCCUGACCGGGAUGAAUCCUGCGGCUGCGGCCGAUCUGGUCUUGCUGCAUGUUCUCGCCCCGGCUCUGGAGGAGAGAGCCGGCGGUUCCAGGUCGGAGCCGGGCUCCGGGUUGGGAUUGAAGCCGUUUUCCGGGAGCCGCCGCUCGCUACAAGAUGCCGCCUGCAAACUGCAACCUUUCGGCUUCCCCGCAACAAAAGGAUCGCGGCCGCAGCUGAUGGUUUUCCGUAACUUAGUGCGGCCGGAGGAUGGGGGCCCGGGCCCGGGGAGCGCCAACAGCUCCGCCGGGGCUCGCCGGCUCACGAUCAAUUGUUGCCCCCGGGAUGAAGCUCGCUCUCCCCCCGGUUCCCCGAGAGCUGGAGGCGGCGGCUGCUGCUGCCCCCGGCGGCAGGAGCGGGUCUGCUUCGACCUGGCCCGGGACUUCGGCGACUUCUCGGUAGCGCCGCCGGAAUGGAAGUGCUCGGAGUCGGCCGAGGGGGGCGCGGUGCCCGGGGACGGGGACAGCUCCAGCAGCCGCGGGGCCCGCUCCCCGAACGAGGAGCCGACCGACACCAGCGACGCGGUGCUGGUGCUGGAAGGGAUCGAGCCCGGGAUGGAGCCCCAGCUCGAGGCCGCGGAGGAGAGCGGCUGCCCCGGGGCAGACUCUCCUGCUGCUGCUGCCGCCGCCUGUCCCCGGCUGGCCGAGCCGGAGAGCCCUGGAGGGCUGCCCAAGGUCCGGCUGAGCCGCUGCUCCAGCUCCCCCAGCCCAUCGCUGCAGAGGGACGGCGACGAGAAGCUGCUGAGCCGCCUGCCCGUUAAAAACCGCAGGAGCUCCCUGAAAAUCCGCCUCGGCAAACUGUUCCGCGCCAAAAGCUGCAAUGGCAACAGUGACCCUGCAGCGAAAAGACAUUCCGUGGAGCUGGACACAUCGGCCGGCUGCCUGGUGGAAAUCUCCCAGCUGCAGGAAGGCUACACCAUCAGAAGCAAGCCCAGGCUGACACGGACACAAAGUGCCUUCACCCCGGUGUCUUUAGCAUCACCUUUUGCAGGGGAAACUGUGUCACUGGUCGACCUGGACAUCUCUCGCCGUGGACCCCCCUCGCCUCAUCCGCCAACACCACCACCCCCACCCCGUCGGAGCCUCAGCCUUCUCGACGACAUCGUGGGGCCACAAGCUCUGUCUUACCCAGUGAACCCAGCUGCUGCUAGUUUACAGUCACUGCCUCUCCCACCACCUCCCCCACCACACACUUCCAUCCAGCUCAGUCUCAGCUUAAACGACACCUUGCAGAGAAACUCGCCUCAAAUUCGGCCGAUGACUGUGCAGCCACAGCACUGCAUGUUUAACAGGAGGGACUCCAACACCUUUGCAGCCAGUUUGCGGGAACUUGAAAAGUGUGGCUGGUAUUGGGGUCCGAUGAACUGGGACGAUGCUGAAAUGAAGUUGAAGGGUAAACCAGAUGGUUCGUUCCUGGUGCGGGACAGCUCGGACCCGCGUUACAUCCUCAGCCUCAGCUUUCGCUCGCAAGGAAUUACGCAUCACACCAGGAUGGAACAUUAUCGAGGAACUUUCAGCCUCUGGUGUCAUCCGAAAUUUGAAGACCGAUGUCAGUCUGUUGUUGAGUUCAUUGAAAGGGCCAUCAUGCAUUCUAAAAAUGGGAAAUUUCUGUACUUUCUCCGCUCGCGUGUUCCUGGUUUGCCACCGACCCCAGUGCAGCUCCUUUACCCUGUCUCCCGUUUCAGCAAUGUGAAGUCCCUGCAGCACCUCUGUCGCUUCCGAAUCCGACAGCUUGUCAGGAUAGACCACAUCCCGGAACUCCCACUCCCAAAACCCCUCAUAUCGUAUCUGCGGAAGUUUUACUAUUAUGACCCUGAAGAGGAAGCCUACCUUUCUCUGCGGGAAGCUCGGCUCUGCAUCACUCACGAACAGGACAUGGACACCCAGACGUAGCUGUCCCAGGAAUAUUGCUUGAACCAUCUGAAACAAGUUGGAGGGUUACCAAGGGCACUGCGAAUGGCACAGUCUGACCAGAUUGCUAUGUCAGGGGCCACUUAUGACAGAGGGAUGCUCGUCGACUUUCCUGAAAUGCUCCUUAUUCCUGAAGCUUAUUUCAACCCGUUGCUCGCUCCAAAAAGUGGUGUGGUGGAGGGAGGGGAGGAGGAUGCAUUGGGGAAGUGACAGAAUUCCUCCUGGAAUACGCCUGGAUGGGACAGGACAAUCGAAUGAUGGAUGAUGGAUUUGCACUUUCUGCUGAGAAAGACUGGUGUUACUAACUCGCAGCUAUUUGCUGGGGAGGCAAAUGUUCUCCUGAACCCAGGGACGUUCCAGGUGUUUUGUGCUGAGAUGCCUAACUCUGAAUGAAUGCCUGGAUGGGUUAUAUUGCACAAAUUUUGUUUUUCAUUAAUUUAUGGAUUAAACUACUGUUUAUAUAUUCACAGACUGUUUAAUGUGGAGCUUGCAGAAACCACUUGAAGUUUACUCUUAGAAUCAUGAUAUGAUUCUAGCACGGAAAGAGGCCAGUCAGCCUACUGUGUCCCAGCUGGCUCCCUGCAGGACAUUGAUCUUCAAUUCUGAGAAAACCCCACCCAGGAGCAUCGGCAGUGAUGAUGAACCCAGUGAGUCAACAAAACAGAGUUCAUUUCCUUUAUUCCCCCACAUUCUUGGCCCUCAGUGAAUCUGUCAACUUCAGAUUUACCUCGUGCUAAAGAAUCUCUGAGGAACAUUGGGACAGGAGCAGGCCAUUUAGUUCCUUUGCAUGCUUGCUGUGCUGAGCUUAUGUUCUGCAGUCACCCACAGUAUCCAUAUAUGUGAAAAGUGCUUUUAGAUCUAGUUUCUGAAUAGUCGGAAAUGUAUAUCAAGGGUAAAAGCAGAAAGAAGCCAUAUGCCUAACUCAUCAAUUUUUCACAAACCUUCUUCAACCCUACCUCAUCUCAAUUAAACAACACACGCUUCAAUUCCUUCCUCUCAUCUGAACUUGUGUAGCUUUGCUCUAAAUGUGGAUCUCUGCUAUUGGCAUCGUGGUGGUGAGUUCUGCAUCCUAACCCCUCCCUGUAUGAAGAUGCUUCUUGUGAAUUUCCUGUUGGAUUUGUGGGUGAUUAACUUGUGUCUGUGAAGCCUAAUUUGGACCCAUCUGCACCCACAAAAACAACACCUGUAUCUCUACCUCAUCAUACACCUUUGUGAUUUUUAAAGCCUCCACCAGGUUACUCCUUAGCCCAUGAUCUUUCUUGACUUAGAAUCCCCUUUUGUACGCUUCUCAUUCAGAGUCUCUUACAGAUUCAUAUAUUAUGGCUCCCAAAGCCCCUGCCACUUAGAGACACAGGAGUCAAAUCUGAAUUCAGACAUUUGCAAUGUGUGUUAAUCCAGACUAAGAGUCAUGGGCUGAGUGGGUACAAUGUCCUGGGAUAGUACAGCUCUCAAUGGCCUGUGACACUCGAGAUAACCCACACAAGUGAUGUUUUGUACAAUCAGUAAAGUGUACCAGAAUUCAACUUACUGACAUGAUGGCACUGUAAAAUGGUGGAAAUCCCCACCCCACCACCGCCUCCACUUCAAAACGAAUCUGGGCUGAUCCACUUGCCAUUGUACUGAAUCCAGGGGAUGGGGUUCCUCAAGUGUCCAGUUUUUGCUCUGGAUUCUCAACCCUCCAGGAAUUAAAGAUUAAUCUCUGGCCUUGGCAUGCAAUAGCCAGAAGAAAAAUCAUUGGUGAGGGUGGGGUGGGUGCGUGAGAUGGAAAAAACAGUUUUUUUCCCCAAUUUCAUUGAACGCUUUUCCCUGUUAAUAUUGAAAAUGAUAGAAAGAACUGUUUUGCUGAGCAAGAUCAUUAGCGGGGAUAGGUCAGUGAUGAAAUCUUCAAGUAAAUGUCCAACCAGAAUAUUUUUUGAUAUAAAACAUCAUUUUUGCUCCUAUAUCAACUGCCCCAACCUUUCCAAAUGGAUAAAUCAUGAUAACAAGAAGCAAAAAAUGAAAAUUCUAACCAUAAUUACGUUCCCUGUCUUGUGGAGUUCGAGAGUGGGAUACUCUGUCGACCAGUAGUGAUAAAAGCCCACUCCUUGCAAAAGGAAAGUUUUAACCUUUGUAGCCAUCAAAGUUUGAGUUCACUAAACCUUGCAACUUGAAUUCUUUCUGCAAUGAAGCUUUUCAUCUUUUAUUAAAUUACUUGCUGCCUCAAAUAAUUUGAAUUUUUGAAAACUUUACAAAUAAGUGGUGCCACCCCUAAGAGCCUUUUGACCAAGAUGUUGUCUUCCUGCAGCAGCCCUAUUGUAGAAGACCAGUCAUGAGAAUAUGUCCUUUUCUGAUUUUGUUAGUUAUAAGAACAUUAGACAGGAUGGGAUGAUUUGACGAGGAGAAAGGGGUCGCAUGAUAAAAUCUCCAGGAAUAGAUUACAAAUCACACUAGACUUCACAACCAUAAUCAUACUAAGAUACAACUUGGUUUUGAAUUCUGUUGUGAAAUGUGAGUGGAUGUUUAUCCAGAGAGUGUUAUUUACGUUUAAGUGUCAAUUAUACAUUUAAGUCUGUUGUGCAGUGACCAUGUAAUGCGGGAAUAAGUGAUGCCCUAUGCUGGUCUAUGUCUGGAACUUGCAUUCACAAAAGUAAAACCUUUAAUAACAUUACGAUUCUGGGAAAUAAGUGCACACACAUCAAACUGAGAUGUCAGCAGUUUAGAAAAUGCUUUUUGUCACAAUGGAUUAUAAAUCAUGGUAUUUUUGGGGCUCCAGUAUCAAACACUCCAGAAUUCAGCAUAGACAGGGCUAUCAUACAAUCAUGCAGAUUCAAGGCAAUUCAGACUGAUCAGUUUUUAAAAAGUGCAGUCCAAUUAGUUCAUUUUCUUCAUGCUGUACAAAUGAUCCAUGUUCACUAAAGUACUCUUGAUUCUUAUUCCACUGUCCCUUCAAACAAUGCAUUUCAGAUUCCAUAACUCACUGCACAAUAAAAAUAAAUCUCCUUAUGUUUUUCCUCCUCCUAUUUAUGUUAAAUCGUGUUUUCUGGUUAGAUGCAGAACAAAGCUCUCUUAAAUAACUUCUAAUCUAACCUCAAGACCUCCUACCUGUGCCACAUGUAGGAAUAUUUUCCAUUUGCCACAUUGGCUUUUCAAGGCCAUUUGGCCCUUUCUCACCAGUAGUGUCCCACGCUGAUGCUUCACAAACUGAAAUGUGGACAAGGUUUUUCACAGCGAGCCUAGGGCCCAGUAGGCUCUUUCAGAAAUUGUGCAGAUUAAUUUUAAAGCGGACUGUUAUCCCUUUGCUGAGCCUUGCCCCUUUUGGUUUGGGCAAAAAGCACAAACCACAGUCUCCAUAUCAAAAGACAAAUUCUUCCAAAAUAUUUAAAUUGGUUCAGUAUCUGUGUGACCAACUGAGGAUUUUCCUUUUGUGAAAAUAGUCCUGGACAAAUCAUAAAACAAAAAGCUGUAUCCCUUUACAAAUGGCCUUGCCUGUUAAAUCUAGAUAUAUUUUGUGAUUGAUGCAAAAUCAAUGCAGACUAACUGUGACUGUCCACUCUAUUGAUAUUUUGUACAUACUCUGUUAAUAAGCAUGUAUGUCCUUUUAAUAUAUAGAGGACUUUGGAACAAUCAGUGCUGAUGUCAGAGGGAGUUGAGUGUAAAUGUAUCAACCCUUGUUUUGUAAAUGUUGAAAAAAUGCAGUUGAUUAUGUAUUGUGGAUUUGUAUUGAAUUUCUAUUCUUGAAGCUACUGACAUUUUAAAAAAAAAAGACUUGUACAGAUUGGAGUCUGAGUAAAACUUAUAAACUAAUUGAUUUAAAAUUA